ACCCCCUCUCUCCCCACCACCACCACCACCACCACACACCCUCUGAAUCUCUCUGAUCACCACUCCCUCCCUCCCUCACCCACCUUUUACUUUUUGUACUUUCUCUCUCUCCAAAGUAGAAAAAGCAAACACACCCUGUCCCUCCAUUUCCACUCAUCCCAACCCCUCUCUCUCUCUCUCUAGGAAACAUCUUUUUAUUUUAAUCCAACUUUCCAUUUUUCCAUAUCUCUCUCUCUCUCUCUCUCUCUCUCUCUCUCUAUCAUCUUUUUAUUUUAAUCCAACUUUCAAUUUUUCCAUAGAAAGAGAAGAGAAAUGCCAAAUAUGGGAAAGUGGAGCAUAAAUGUUAUACAUCUUGCAUUCAAAAGAUUGACAUGAUUGAGUUUUUAAUAUUAUAAUAACUAGCAUAAAAUUUACAAUAUUUGAUGUAAAAAAAUAUAUAAAAAAUUUACACUUAUUUUUACGUACAGAUAGCAUUAUCUAGAGAAAAAAAACAUCAGCAACUGAUCCAAAAGAGAACAAGAACAACAAAUAUAAAUUUAUGUAUCUAACUGAAUUUAUUUCUAAGAUCUUAAUAAUUGAUACUUCUUGCAUUCAAAGAUUGACAUGAUUCUUGUUGAGGUUUUAAUAUUAUAAGUAGCAAAAAGUUUACAAUAUUUGAUGUAAGAAAAAAAAAAAAAAUUUACACUUAUUGUUACAUACAGACAGUAUUAAUUAUAAGCAACAACAACUCCAAAAACAGAAUAACAGCAACAACAACAACAACAAAUAUAA
rnacentral:lncRNA from 1 species